CGUCUUCUGAGCUAACACCAUAUAGAAGAUAAUGCCUGCCCAAUGACACAGUUAAAUGGCCGCGUUAGCGUGAGCGUGCUAAGGUAGCGUAAUAAUUAGCUUCCUAAUUAGGAGCCAGUGAAUGGCAAGACAAAGAGAAACUCUAUCACUUACGUUUAGAAAAUUUUCCAAUUAAGUGAAAAGGCUUAAGUAAAAGAGAAAGACAAAAAGACCCCGCGGAACUUCCUGAACCUUUACCUCAAUAAUACAGAAUAUUAAAGCUAACCAGGUUGGUUGGGGCAACCAUGGAACAACUUCAACUUCCAACUUAUACAGUAAAUUAUACAAAACUUGAUACGGACCACAAUCGCAGUUACCCCGGGGAUAACAGCGUAAUCCAGUUUAAGAGUACGCAUCAAAAACUGGGUUUGCGACCUCGAUGUUGGCUUAGGGAAUGCAACUUGGCGCAGCCGCUAAGUUACCUGCCAGUCUGUUCGACUGCAAACACCCU
rnacentral:rRNA from 1 species